rnacentral:rRNA from 1 species
UCAGGAUGAACGCUGGCGGCGCGCUUAACACAUGCAAGUCGAACGGUUAAUGCACCCCUCGGGGUGCGCAUAAAGUGGCGAACGGCUGAGUAACACGUGGGCAACCUGCCCCCCGCACCGGGAUAGCCUCGGGAAACCGAGGGUAAUACCGGAUACUCCGCCCCCCUCGCAUGGGAGGGGCGGGAAAGCACAUACGGCGGGGGAUGGGCCCGCGGCCUGUUAGCUCGUUGGCGGGGUAACGGCCCACCAAGGCGAUUAUGGGUAGCCGGGUUGAGAGACCGACCGGCCAGAUUGGGACUGAGACACGGCCCAGACUCCUACGGGAGGCAGCAGUGGGGAAUCUUGCACAAUGGGCGAAAGCCUGAUGCAGCGACGCCGCGUGCGGGAAGAAGGCCCUCGGGUUGUAAACCGCUUUCAGCAGGGACGAGGCGCAAGUGACGGUACCUGCAGAAGAAGCCCCGGCUAACUACGUGCCAGCAGCCGCGGUAAUACGUAGGGGGCGAGCGUUAUCCGGAUUCAUUGGGCGUAAAGCGCGCGUAGGCGGCCCGUUAGGUCGGGAGUCAAAUCCGGGGGCUCAACCCCCGUCCGCUCCCGAUACCGGCGGGCUUGAGUCUGGUAGGGGAAGGUGGAACUCCAAGUGUAGCGGUGGAAUGCGCAGAUAUUUGGAAGAACACCGGUGGCGAA